rnacentral:rRNA from 1 species
AUUGAACGCUGGCGGCAGGCCUAACACAUGCAAGUCGAACGAGUGGCGGACGGGUUAGUAAUGUCUGGGAAUCUGCCUGCUGGAUGGGGAUAACUACUGGACACUGUAGCUAAUACCGCAUACCGUCAGAUAUGCCCAGAUGGGAUUAGCUUGUUGGUGGGGUAACGGCUCACCAAGGCGACGAUCCCUAGCUGGUCUGAGAGGAUGACCAGCCACACUGGAACUGAGACACGGUCCAGAUUCCUACGGGAGGCAGCAGUGGGGAAUAUUGCACAAGGGGCGAAAGCCUGAUGCAGCCAUGCCGCGUGUAUGAAGAAGGCCUUCGGGUUGUAAAGUACUUUCAGCGGGGAGGCGUUACCCGCAGAAGAAGCACCGGCUAACUCCGUGCCAGCAGCCGCGGUAAUAC